rnacentral:rRNA from 1 species
AACGAACGCUGGCGGCGCGCCUAAUACAUGCAAGUCGAGCGAGAAGACGUAGCAAUACGUUUGUAAAGCGGCGAACGGGUGAGGAAUACAUGGGUAACCUACCCUCGAGUGGGGAAUAACUAGCCGAAAGGUUAGCUAAUACCGCGUACGCUCCUUGGACUUCGGUUCAGGGAGGAAAGCGAUACCGUGGGUAUCGCGCUCUUGGAUGGGCUCAUGUCCUAUCAGCUUGUUGGUGGGGUAACGGCUCACCAAGGCUUCGACGGGUAGCUGGUCUGAGAGGACGAUCAGCCACACUGGCACUGCGACACGGGCCAGACUCCUACGGGAGGCAGCAGUAAGGAAUAUUGCGCAAUGGGCGAAAGCCUGACGCAGCGACGCCGCGUGGGGGAUGAAGGUCUUCGGAUUGUAAACCCCGUUUCGGG